UGUGAGAGUGGACUCGUGUCUAGG
rnacentral:misc_RNA from 1 species